AUGCCCACACAUCUGAGUCGCUGUGAAGCCCCUACCACCAGGACCAAUCACACUGACCCAUGGCCCUGACAACUAGACUGCGGCAGCUCCGGACAUCAAAUCAGGGGCCUGUUUCAUAAAGAGUUACAAGUAACAUUGCUGUUAUGGCAACUACCGUGAUAAUAAGGCUCAGCAGCCGAUCACAAUCAAGAUUACCAUGGAAGUUACAAUAAUGGUAAAGUUACGAUAGUUGUAAGUCUUUAUGAAAUGGGCCCCUGAGCAUCAACUCAGCUCACCUGCAAAGCUUGGACGCAAAGCAACCAGAUCGAUCAGGACAUGUCAAGAGUGCUAUCCAUGAUAACAUAAAGGGGUCAUCUGGUAGGAGUGCCUGAAAAAGGAAGGACGGAAUAUAGAGCUAGAUUGUAAAGAAGUCAUCGUCAUGAUAGAGGAUGAACUCAACAAACUUGGGUCAAAGGUCAAGAAAGUCCCAAGAAGUAUGCCACCAGAACCAGUGAGUGCUCUCCAUGAUAACAUAAAGGGGUCAUCUGGUAGGAGUGCCUGAAAAGGAAGGACGGAAUAUAGAGCUAGAUUGUAAAGAAGUCAUCGUCAUGAUGGAGGAUGAACUCAACAAACUUGGGUCAAAGGUCAAGAAAGUACCUGUAAAUGUGCCACCAGAACCAGUGCCAUUAUAACGAGGAGAGAAUGCUAGGAAAGGGACAAAUGGGUUCCAAAACAACUUGUCAUCUUGCCAAAUAUGAAGGACCUGUCAACUUCCCCAAAGGCUGAGGAGAUGGUGAAGGCUGUGAAAGCACUGGUUGAAUUCCUGUCACUCCGUGUACAUCAUGGAUCCACCCCCUAUCUGGUGAUAGCCAUCUUCGAAGCAGAAAUGAGAGAGGUAGUCUACCAGAGACAAGGACAUGACACCAAUCUUCAAGUCUCCAUUUACAGGGAAUGUCUGACGAACAGUUAUUGGUCUUUGUGUGAAGUGUAAUCAACAUAAGAACGGCUUUGACACCAAACUCUUCGUAUACCACCCCAUCUUGUGUUGAUAAUGUUCCUAGUAUUCAUGAUAGAAAUAGUUUACAGGAAUUUGCCCUUGACACCAGUCAUUACUUACACUCAGUGUCUGGUGUUAGCCAUAUUUUAACUGGGCUUUUUCAGAUGUUUCCUGUUAUCUGCUGUGUGGAUCAUUACUCCCAUGAAUAUCUAGAAUAUGGUUAAACCUUAGUUAAGUGAUUGGAGGGUAUCGGGGUUCACCAGUCUGAAUGACUUAAUAUCAGUACAAAUUUUAUUUCAAUAAUUGAAAAUAUGUGGCCCGCAUUUAUACAUUAACUACUGAUGAACCCAUUUUGAUAUUUGGAUACGUAUUUACGAUGACUUUUGUGUAGCUCUAAGGAGCAGGUCCAAGCUAUCAUUUCUACUGAAAGUGUAGGGAUAUAAUAGUUUUAGGAGAUAAUUGUGGGGUUAAUAGUUACCAACUUUAUCAUAAUGAAGUUGGUAUUUGUGUUUAUAUAGUGUUGACUUGUCUGCAUGAGUGGAUCCAAAGCUUUUCCACAGUUUUAGUCUCAUUGAGUGUUAUCACUUUUUCACCCUGGAUCUACGUGUCAUAGAACUGGUCGGGGUAGGGGGAUGGGCAGACUAUUCUGCAAAAGUGAAUCCAAAGGUUUUCCAGAGUUUUUCCCUAUUGAGUUUUAUCUCUGGUUUUUUACCCUGGAUCUACUUGUCGUAGAACUAGUGGGGAUGGGAUGGGGGUUGGGUGUCUCAAUGCGAUAUGUCAAAAUCGCUUUAAAAAAAAGACUUUGCAGCGACAAUGGUUAACUUUUAUCUUCAAAGUCAGCGCAUCUGUUUAGACUGAAUAGCACUGCCCGGGUAUGUGGGUCCAAAGAUUUUGGACAUUUUGUAAAGGGAGGGGGGGGGGGGCGCUAUCAAUGUCAAAGGUCACAAGGUUAUUUACACACACUCAAACAUAUGUUCUUCUUGCUAUAAUUGAAAAUAUGUGUGAGAGAUCAACUGAUAACUUUGCUGAUCUUGUACGAGAUGAAGAUUUUGGGGUCAGGAGGUCAAAGUUCACAGAGGUCACGAUAGACCUGAAAAUAUCUUUAUACUGCGAUACCUAUAGAGCCGUUUAUGGGUUCAGUUUAAAAACUGGGUUUGUGUACAUGUAUGCGUACGGUAGUGACGAUGAUCUGAAUUGAUAUUAGGGUCAUGAGUUUAAAGGUUUGAGGUCACAUAGGAUCAUUAUAAACAGUAAAUUCUUAUUCUCGCCACUGGUGUAAAUCCGUGUUGAUGGGUGGGGGGGAUGACUGAAAUAUUUUGGCAUUUUUUUUGCAAUCAUGUUUUAGAUAUGCAAGGAAUUGUCAUUGAUAUGUCCACAGUGGCCUACCGUCGGUCACGGCAUUGGGGAGGGGGGGGCACCAGCAAAAUUUUUGAAUCACAUUAUACCGUGUUUACACUUAAUCGGCAUUUGAAUCGGCUCGCGGUUCUGAACCGCUAGCCGAUUCAGCAUCGGCUUUUUCAUAGCGUGUAAACGCGAGCAACUUGAAUCGGCUCGCGGUUCAGAACCGGCAAUUUGCACCACCAAAGUAGAAGGUUCUGAACCGCGAGCCGAUGCAGAAUCGGCUUUUUUACUACGUGUAAACAGAAAGCCAAUUCUGCACCGGCAAUUUGUGCGCAUUUCAAUUACUUUACCAUUGUGACGUAAUUGUAAGCGCACUGAUCCAGCGUUGUCUUUAUUAUGACGUAUAUUGUAGGUACGCGAUAACCAAUAUAUAUGUUGACGUCUUGAGGACAAAGUACAUAGAUUCAUUUUAUACAUUGAAAUAUCUUGUUCUUGCAUUCUAAAUAACUGUUUGAGAGAAUAUCUACAAUUUUGACUCAUGUAUGCAUAUGUGAGAGGAUGAUCUCAAUCAAAUUUCAGGGUCAGGGCUCAAAGGUCAAGGUCAUUAUUUAAAAAUAUUAGAAGUUGGGUGUGUAAUAUAUUCUAGACCUGGCAAUAGCAGAGGCAUAAAUUUUGAUGGUGUGCAGUCAAGAAUACCAUCUGUUUCUAUCAAACUUUGCAUGGUCCCACUAAUAUAUAUUUAUGGUUCCAGUCAUGUGGGGUUUUUGUAUGUAGUAUAUAGUAUAUAUUUUUUGAAAAUUGCUUUUAUGAAUAUGAAAUCAUUUUAAAUUAAUGAAAAGAUUAUGAAACUAGCAAAACAUUUUUGGGAAGUAUUUCACAAAUGGUUAAAACUGACUAGAUGUCAUGCUUACACCUAUUAAAGUAUUUAGAGUGUCAUUGAUUAACACAUGUACUAGUAUGCAGUACAGUGUAUCCUCCGAUUCUGAUCCAACCAAUAAUGGUGAUCUGUUAUUUUCCACACACAAGUGGAAAUUUAAGAGCAAUUUUUAGUCACGCUUAAAAUCUUAGUGAAACGCCUCUUUGAUUUGUCUUUUACGUCACACGUUCUAGGGACAGUGAUAUUCUGUUUACUGGUAAUUCAAAACACUAAAUCUGUUUUGGUUCUUUACUUUUCAUGCAAAAAUUCAUUGAAUUUACUUUCGAAAAACAAAACUCAUGUAUUUGCUUUGUGCAUUUUCUAUGACAAAAUGGAAUUUCCAUUUUAGAUCAAGUUUAAAACAGAGUUCCAGGAUUCCAGAAAGAAAAAAAAUGAAUUUGUAAAACUGAAAAUCACUGUCCCUAAUGUCAUAUCAAAUAGCUUGGACCUGCCCUAUACAUGUAGUGUACGAUUGUACUAUAUACUUGCUUUGUAUUCACAAUCUUAUUGUUCUAUCUUGAAAAUAAAAUGCAAGACCGGCAGCCAAGAAGAUUCAUUCAAGUUGGAGGACCAGAGCGGCUGACCUCAUUGAUGGAGUAGGCCCUAGACCUCACAAAUAUGGUUUCCUGUCUGGUUUGAGCUAGGAUCUUCCUGCCAGAAUCACAUAAUGUGUGAUGUCACUUCCAAGAGAUCUAUUUUUAGUGUGCAGAGGAGGGCACUUGACAUUACUGUGCAUGGUGUACAACAUCUAUAAUGUAAGUGCUUUAUUGAUGAUUUCAAUAUUUUGUGUAGCCUAUAGUAUGUGAGACAAUGCAAUCAUUUUUCCAGCAAUUGUAAUUGAGGGAAAUAAUUAGUUUUGAAAUAUUGGGCAGCAAUUUUUAUACAUAUUGGGCCUUUUAUCCACAUUUGCCACAAUUGCAUCUUUUAAGUUCCUGACAUUCUAUUCAAUUUCUGGAAAGAUAUUCUUUCUAUGAAAAUAUUUUAAAACAAUAUAAUUCAUGAAUGCAAUUCGAAAAAAUUGUGGGGAUUUAAAAAACAAACCUCCUCUACAGUACAAUACUUGCGUUAUCUGUUGAUCCAUUGAUUGCAGUCUUUCUUUAUAUACCUUUAUGUACUAUCUGCUGCUCUAAAUUCAUCUUUGUUUCACAUUCUUGCAACAUAAAAUCUGCCAUGACUGAUAUAAUAAUGUGCUAAUAAGACAAAAAACUCAUUCAAAAGGAAAUUGAAUUAUAUUUACAGACUUUGAUCUCAUUAUUUUAAAAAUUAAUUGUAGAGCCAUGAUUGAGCAGUGUGAAUUAUUUUGCAAUAAAUCUACUCCCUAUUACUGUACUGAUUAAUUUUUCAGACAGACUAAUUUAACUUCUUCAAACUGUUUGGUCCGAUCCCCAUUCACCAUAAACCUAUUUUUUUUUAAAUGCCGAGUGUGUAUCCAUCAUGUAAACACAGAAUGCGAGAGAUUUAGCCAGACCUGUGUUGGAUGAUAAUGAUAUUGGGAUGAAGGUGGCUUCUCAAUAUCGGUUCGUCUGCCAAAAACUUAAAAAAAAACUUAUACUCAACUUUGGAUAAAAAGUUGAACCCGUUUUUAUGAGGAUUGUGUGCUUCAAUGGUUUUUCCACAAUGUGUUAAGGUAAAAAAGUGGUCCUUUAAUCACUGCAAUACAAGUUAGUCUGGAAUCUAUUUUUAGAAGUGCAAUGCCAAAUUUUGAUUUUUAUCUUGCCAGCAAGUGCUAUUUACUUAUCAAGAGCCUUGCCCACUGUAGCGUUUCUAGUUGACCCUUAUUGAUAUUUUGUAGUAUGCCUGUUUUGCACGUUUGUCAAAUUUAUUUGAUGGAGCAGUUUAGCCAAAAUGGCUUUUGGGCUUAGUGGCAGUGAUCAAGGUCGAUCAAGAACUGGUUUGCACUCCAAAGAAGAGAAGAGAGGAACUGUUCACCUACGUUUGAAGAGAGCGCUGCUGACUUUCGGAGUAUUGUUUCAAUCGCAUGUGACAUUUUUGUAUUUGGUGUUUGAAAAUCUGCAAGUUGAAUAUAAUCCUUUAGAAAUUAAAAUGAUGAUAUCUUAUGAGGGAUCUGUGCCUUUGUUUUACUAAUACAUGGUGCCUUACAGGUGGUCUGAAUGAUAAUAAUCAUUGUAUCAUUUGGUAGACAUUUCAGCACUCUGAUCUGCAUGGUUCUUGCUACAUGUAGCUAAGCUUAUUGCCAUCUGGAAUUCAUCCAAAUUUUAAUAUGUGGUGGGGCAGUGAUCCACCAGAUUGUCAACCUUCCGAACUCCCCAUUUUCCAUUCUUUCCAUGGUUAAUUGAUCAUUGCAUCAUCUGGUAGUUUUCCCUCAUGGAACAUUCAAGUCAUAUCCUGUGUGAAUGAGAAUGGCAUUUAUUCGCUUGGCUGAAUUUGAAAAGGGUUGCGGUAUUUGGGAAGGUUUGAUGGAACUUGGCUUAUCUGAUUCUGUUGUUCAGGUUGUCUUUCAGAUUUACAAUUUCUCUGUCCUGUGCUUUGAAAACUUUAUUCAGUACAAACCAGAGCUGCUAUUUGGACCUGAAAAUUAAUAUAAGUCAGGCUUUACCUACUGUGGUUGUAGAAGAAUGUGACAUACGGAAAGGAGCCAGACAGGGAUCACUUUUGGACACCUGAGAGUUCUGACCUCGAUGAUUACUGAAGAUGCUUGUAAUUCCUUGAAGAGCCUCAUCAGCAUCACACAUGGUGCCAUCACCCUCAAGGGGUCAGAGCGAAUGAUUCUUCGAAACUUGACCAUGAUGCGGUAUUCAAUUAAAGAGGAUUGUUGUACCUUGAACAGCCUAAGCAGGAUAUUUACAUGGAUCUAUAAUUGUGUCAGGGACAAAGGGGGACUCCAGCUGAUAAGUAUCCCAGUUUUGAGAGUUCAUCUUGUAGGUUCUUCGUAUGAGUUUGGAAGUUCUGUUUGUUGCCAUCUGUGAAAUGAGCAAUUCGUCUUCGAGAAAAUUGUAACAGUUGUCAUUUACCUCCUGCCUAAAGCAUUGGAUUCCUACAUCUAGUCUGGAAAGAGCUUUGGAAAUUUUCAUUUGGUGCUGUUUCUGAAAUUCCUUUGAUUUUCUUGUUGAUGAAGAAAGUGUUUCCUUCAUUCCAGAAGUAGUUUUGGGAAUUUUAUGGGGUGCCGUCUCAGAAAUUUGACAUUGCACUUCACUAAUAGGGAACACGUAUUGUAUUGUGGUGAUUGAUGGUGCAUUGUGGGAUGUAAGGUGCAUAUCCUCUGGACGAGUCUAUAUUGAGGGUUCGACCUGUUAGAUCUAGAUUCACAUUAUCUUGUCAUUCUGAAUGCAAUAGCUUUGUCUCUCAAAUUUCUGUGGAAUGAAGUGAUGGAUACAUACGCAUACCAGGUCAUUUGGUUCCUCUAUGACGGUGAAUAAAUGAAGGGGAAACAAUAUAAACAAAAAGAUAAGGAAAGAAAGGAAAAGAAAAGAAACGACAAUUUUUUUUCUUCUGGUCAUUUCUAAAUGUUAACAAAAAUACAGUGCUCAUUGAAGUUCAUAGAAACACCAUUGUAUAUGUACAGAAAAAUAGUGCAUUUAUUUGCAAAAUUAUUCAAUUUUACAUCUGCUCAGGCUACUGCUCAUUUCAAAGAAUACCCCCCCC